CAGUGACAGAGGCAGGAAAUAGAGACAUAAUAGCUUCUUCCUGACGGGGGAGACAGUAAGUCACACCGGAAGCCUGAGAGUUCCUCCCUCCCCCCCCCCCCCCCAAUCUGAGCUUCCAAGUGUCUCCUGCAGAAAUCCUGGGGGGGGGUCCCCCUCCCCCCUCCUCGACCCUUUGGGGGCUUCCGGGCAAAGUCUGCUUCUCUUCCUGAGCAAACUGUUUCCUGGGCUCUAGACUGUGGCCGAUUGUGAAGGGGCAGGGCAGGUCCCCGAGAGCCUCCGCAGCCGGGGAUCAGAGGCUCUGCGGGAGCUGCGGGGCCGCCUUUGCCGACACAGGUGCUGCUUGUGGAUGGGAACGAGAUAAAUGGGAGGCAGAGGGAAGGGGAGGGAGUCAGACAAGGCCUCUCGGUCGGAGAAAGCUACGGCCUCUGGGUCUCCUUGUGUCGUCCUCUCACCGAGGGGGUCCCUUCUGGGCCGGAUCCCCAGCAGCCACUGUCAGGUCACCGGCCACAAUCCCACAGAAGUGGAGACAGCAUGGAGCUGAUUCCAGUCCCUGCCGCACUUGCUGCCCAUCCAGAAGAGCAAAUCUCCAGAGAAAUAAAUACAAGAGCUGUAGUCAGGCGUUCCUGAGCACAGUCCAGCUCCCCAUCUACCAACUGGAUCCGACGGUUCAAGGAAGCCACCUCAGCCUCAGCCUGUUCCAGGGCCCGUUUCUCCCCCUCCACCUCCUGCUGGAGACGCUCGGCCCUCUCCAAGGUGUCAUUGGCCUGCUGCUGCAGAACCUGAAUCUUGCGCUUCACCUCCUCGAUGGUGGUGAUACCAGCCAUGGUGCCCACCCCGUUCUGGCUCCCACUCCGACUGCUACCUCCUCUGUUCGGUGCUGCUGCUGCUUCUCAACCUGAAGGUGGCAGACUUUUCCAAGCCUCCCUUAAGAGCAUGCUGACCCUGUUCUUCAAGAACAUUUUAUUUGCUCUUAAAGACACCCAGGCUAGAUGAGCAAAGAAGGAAAAAAAUAGCACAUGCGAGUUGAUACCAGAAGGUUUGUGGCAGGUGAGUGUAUAUUUGGGCUACAAGCUGGUGGCUCUGGGAAGCAAAU
rnacentral:lncRNA from 1 species